rfam:Triticum aestivum genome assembly, contig: Triticum_aestivum_CS42_TGACv1_scaffold_169269_2DL
UUUCUACUCCCUCCGUCCGAAAAUACUUGUCAUCAAAAUGGAUAAAAAGAGAUGUAUCUAAAACUAAAAUACAUCUAGAUACAUUUCCUUUUAUCCAUUUUGAUGACAAGUAUUUCCGGACGGAGGGAGUAUUUG